UACAGAGGGUGCGAGCGUUUGUUCGGAAUUACUGGGCGUAAAAGGGCGCGUAGGCGGCGCAACAAGUCACUUUGUGAAAUCUCCGGGCUUAACCCGGAGCGGUCAAGUGAUACUGUCGUGCUAGAGUGCGGAAGGGGCUACUGGAAUUCUCGGUGUAGCGGUGAAAUUGCGCAGAUAUCAGGAGGAACACCGGUGGCGAAGGCGGUGGUCUGGGCCGGCACUGACGCUGAGGAGCGAAAGCGUGGGUAGCAAACAGG
rnacentral:rRNA from 1 species